GAUGAACGCUGGCGGCGUGCCUAAUACAUGCAAGUCGAGCGAACGGACGAGAAGCUUGCUUCUCUGAUGUUAGCGGCGGACGGGUGAGUAACACGUGGAUAACCGACCUAUAAGACUGGGAUAACUUCGGGAAACCUUAGCUAAUACAGGAUAAUAGUUUGAACCGCAUGGUUCAAAAGUGAAAGACGGUCUUGCUGUCACUUAUAGAUGGAACCGCGCUGCAUUAGCUAGUUGGUAAGGUAACGGCUUACCAAGGCAACGAUGCAUAGCCGACCUGAGAGGGUGAUCGGCCACACUGGAACUGAGACACGGUCCAGACUCCUACGGGAGGCAGCAGUAGGGAAUCUUCCGCAAUGGGCGAAAGCCUGACGGAGCAACGCCGCGUGAGUGAUGAAGGUCUUCGGAUCGUAAAACUCUGUUAUUAGGGAAGAACAUCUGUGUAAGUAACUGUGCACAUCUUGACGUUACCUAAUCAGAAAGCCCCGGCUAACUACGUG
rnacentral:rRNA from 1 species